AUGGCCAGCAAAUGGCGGGUGACAUUGCAGGUAUCUGAGAUGCUGGAUGCCGGGCGCGCCAUGUUCAAGGAGCUCGCCGCCGACUUCGAGGACCACCUCAGCAGGAUCCAAAAGAAGAGGUCGGGGAAGUUGGAGGAGGAGAUCAGGGAGCUGCGCGCCCGCGACGUCGCCAACGAGCAGACACGUGCCAUCCUCCACAACGCCCAACUCCAGCUCUUCCACAUCCACGAGUAG
rnacentral:rRNA from 1 species